UACGAGGGGGGCGAGCGUUGUUCGGAAUUAUUGGGCGUAAAGGGCGCGUAGGCGGUUGGUUAAGUCUUGUGUGAAAUCUUCGGGCUCAACUCGAAGUCUGCACGAGAAACUAUCUGGCUUGAGUGUGGGAGAGGUGAGUGGAAUUCCUGGUGUAGCGGUGAAAUGCGUAGAUAUCAGGAGGAACACCUGUGGCGAAAGCGGCUCACUGGACCACAACUGACGCUGAGGCGCGAAAGCUAGGGGAGCAAACAGG
rnacentral:rRNA from 1 species